ACGAGGUAAUGUGAUUAGAAAAGAAAAGAGAUGCACAAUUGAGGUUUAUAGAAUCCAUGUUUAGAGUUUCGACAGAUAAGAAAGAUCCCAAAAAGGAGGCAGAAAAAGUCAUCUUUGUGGUAGGAGGAAAACUUUGAGGGUGUGUUGUCCCAGCGGCCAAGCAAAGACAGUGAUUCAAGCAGCAACGAGCGUCUGUUUUAAAUGCUGUUUUAAAUACUGCCAAGAGCUCAAAAAAGAGGACUAAGAAAGAAUCAUUCAAGCUUAAAAAUUCAGUGAGAAAAUUUCAGUGGCUUGUUGGAGAAGAACCCAGAGUGCAUCUGCACCCAGAUAUUGGCAUCCAAGGAGAAAAGGCUGCCCAUUUCCUACUUAGGCUUUUUGUUGGAAGAUCUCUUUCCUUGCUGGUGGAAGGUUUCCUCUUCCUUGGAAGGUUUUUAGAGUACAGAGAGAUUACUAUUCUGAAGGAAGCUGUCAUCUUAUGAGGAUACUCAGGGAGUCCUGUGGAGAUACAGACAUGAAAACUAACUGGAUCUUCUACCAAAAUCAGCACCAACAUUCCUUUCAUGAGAUUGAGCCAACAUAGAAUGGGAUUCUGUAAGAAAAGCUAUGGACAGAAUGCCAUGUGCUAGUUACCAAUUCCUGGGGAGGGCCCUAAACCCUUCUGCCUGCUGAGUCUUGGUAUUGAAGUCACCAAGGAAAAUACAACUCUGUCGAGUACUGGAUGGAGCAACACUUUAAUUACAUAGAGAAAAGAUAAAGUGACAUGACUUCAUGUUGCAGUGGAAGCAUGCUUUGUGCAGAGAUGAAAAAGUACUCAUUACGCAUGAAACCAAGAAAGAUUUUCCCACACAAAGUGAUAAGCCCAACAUAAGGGGUAUGGGCUCUUUAUCUCUUGGGUGUUCAGGACCAAGGCCCAUUCUUUAUGCAUUUGAGUGUAACUUGGAAAACACUGCAUGCACAAGAGUACUUUCCUAACAACAGCCAAAUCUUCAAAUGAUUGCAGUGUUGGCCAAUGUUUUCACUGCAGCCUCAUCAGAGACCCUACACUGGAGCCACCUAGCUAAGCUAUUGCUGGAUUCCUGACCCACAGUAACUGUGUGAUAUGAUACAUAUUUAUUGUUAUUUUAAGCCACUAAAUUGUAAAAUAAUCUAUUAUUCAGUGAUACACAACCAUAAAAUUUUGAUUGAUUAGUGGACGAGAAACAAGAUGAUGGAUUAAGGACAUUUAAAAUCCCAUGGAUAACUAUCACUUUCUAGGAUUUAGAAAAAAUUCUGUCUCAGGUGCCGAGAUGAAGAGGAUUCUCAUGUCAUGAAAACUAAGUGUUUUGUGAUUCCAUAAAUCUGAAACAAUGGCCAAGAAAGACACUUUGUUACAACUGCUUGAAUUUUUCAGAGCGUGAAAUGAUUAUGCGGCUACCAUCUGUGAUAGAGAAUCAGGGACCUAUGAUUGUCACUUCUUCUGAGUUAGAGUUGACAAAAUUUAUUUCUUCAGAAGUUUACUGGAUAGGGCAUAUUGGGUUCAUCAUUAUUAAAAGGUGA